rnacentral:tRNA from 1 species
GUCUGGUUAGCUCAAUGGUAGAGCACCGUGUAAUGCACGGGCGUUGCAGGUUCGAGUCCUGCUCCAGCA